UCUCAGCUUCUUGAGGCUGGAUUUGAGCUAAGUAACUAUUUAUACUUAAAAUAAUACAUUUGUUAUUUAUUAAAUUAUUUUGGAAUAUUUGGAGGGACCUUGUCUUAACUAAUAAACUCAAUAGACUGUUCCCUAGACACCUGGUUCUGCAAGGAGCUUCAGGGACCCCUGAACUUCAGGCAUGCAAUCUUAGACACCAUGGAUCUGGCCUACCUACAGAUGUAGGCGGUCUGGGAUCUAAAGCUACCCGGAGACAAACCAAGAUUGGGUACUUGAUGAUAACUGGCUUGAGCAGGGGAUAACAUGGCCGAUCAUGCUCCUGUCUACUCUGGCCUGGAGUAUUGUUAGAAUCCCUUUCUCCGACAUGAAUAGGUACCUAGCUCCACCCUCUCUAGCUGAAUCAGCUAAACUUGAAUAGGGUUCAAUGUCCUUUGGGGCGUGACUUGUUGGAUUGUCAGGCUACAAACAUAUCAAGGGUUCAAUACCCUUUGUAGCUUGGUUUGGGUUGGGUUGUCAUACUCAAACAUAUCAAGGGUUCAAUACCCUUUGUAGCUUGGUUUGGGUUUGGUUUGUCAGCCUACAAACAUAUCUCACUUGGGGGCAUUAAAUUGUACUGUAUUAUUUACAAUUGUGAAUCCUUACUGGUUCACAUUAUGCUGAUAUUAAUUUAAUUUUGGAAUUGUUUAGCUUAAA